ACUUUGAUCCUGGAUCAGGAUAAACGCUGGCGGCGCACAUAAGGCAUGCAAGUCGAACGAACUUAAUCGAAAUGUUUACAUUUUGAAGCGGUUAGUGGCGGACUGGUGAGUAACGCGUAAGGAACCUGCCUUUUAGAGGGGAAUAACAAUGAGAAAUCAUUGCUAAUACCGCAUAUGCCAUAAUCUUCACAUGAAGGAAGUGGGAAAGGAGCAAUUCGCUAAAAGAUGGCCUUGCGUCUGAUUAGAUAGUUGGUAAGGUAAUGGCUUACCAAGUCGACGAUCAGUAGCCGGACUGAGAGGUUGAACGGCCACAUUGGGACUGAGAUACGGCCCAGACUCCUACGGGAGGCAGCAGUCGGGGAUAUUGCGCAAUGGAGGAAACUCUGACGCAGUGACGCCGCGUAUAGGAAGAAGGUUUUCGGAUUGUAAACUAUUGUCGUUAGGGAAGAGAAAGGACAGUACCUAAGGAGGAAGCUCCGGCUAACUACGUGCCAGCAGCCGCGGUAAUACGUAGGGAGCAAGCGUUAUCCGGAAUUAUUGGGUGUAAAGGGUGCGUAGACGGGAAUACAAGUUAGUUGUGAAAUCCCCUGGCUUAACUGGGGAACUGCAACUAAAACUAUAUUUCUUGAGUGCAGGAGAGGUAAGUGGAAUUCUUAGUGUAGCGGUGAAAUGCGUAGAUAUUAGGAGGAACACCAGUGGCGAAGGCGACUUACUGGACUGUAACUGACGUUGAGGCACGAAAGUGUGGGGAGCAAACAGGAUUAGAUACCCUGGUAGUCCACACCGUAAACGAUGGAUACUAGGUGUAGGUUAUAUUAAGUAAUCUGUGCCGUCGCAAACGCAAUAAGUAUCCCACCUUGGGAGU
rnacentral:rRNA from 2 species